GCUCAACCAGGAAAUUGCUUUGCAUACUGGCAGGCUAGAGAAAGCCAGAGGUAGAUGGAAUUCCCGGUGUANCGGUGACAUGCGUUGAUAUCGGGAGGAACACCAAUGGCGAAGGCAGUCUACUGGGCCUCUUCUGACGCUCAGGCGCGAAAGCGUGGGUAGCAAACAGGAUUAGAUACCCUGGUAGUCCACGCCCUAAACGAUGGAUACUAGGCGUUAGGGGUAUCGACCCCCUUAGUGCCGCAGCAAACGCGAUAAGUAUCCCGCCUGGGGACUACGGCCGCAAGGCUGAAACUCAAAUGAAUUGACGGGGACCCGCACAAGCGGUGGAGCAUGUGGAUUAAUUCGAUACUAACCGAAGAACCUUACCCAGACUUGACAUCGAGGGCCCGGCUAUGAAAGUAGCCUUCCGCCUCACAAGGGCGGCCCAAAGACACCUGUUGCAUGGCUGUCGUCAGCUCGUGCCGUGAGGUGUUUGGUUAAGUCCAGCAACGAGCGCAACCCUCGUCCUAUGUUGCCAACAGGUAAAGCUGGGAACUCAUAGGAGACCGCCGGCGCAAGCCGGAGGAAGGUGAGGAUGACGUCAAGUCAGCAUGGCGGUUACGUCUGGGGCUUCACACAUGCUACAAUGGAUGCAACAAAGGGGAGCGAGACCGUAAGGUUUAGCGAAUCCCAAAAAUACAUCCUCAGUUCGGAUUGCAGUCUGCAACUCGACUGCAUGAAGUCGGAAUCGCUAGUAAACGCAGGUCAGCUAUACUGCGUUGAUACGUUCCCGGGUCUUGUACACACCGCCCGUCAAGUCACCCGAAUUGUCUGCACCCGAAGUCCGUGGCCCAACCGUAAGGAGGGAGCGGCCGAAGGUGCGGGGAGUAAGG
rnacentral:rRNA from 1 species